UACGUAGGUGGCAAGCGUUGUCCGGAAUUGAUUGGGCGUAAAGCGCGCGCAGGCGGUUCCUUAAGUCUGAUGUGAAAGCCCCCGGCUCAACCCGGGGAGGGUCAUUGGAAACUGGGGAACUUGAGUGCAGAAGAGAAGAGCGGAAUUCCACGUGUAGCGGUGAAAUGCGUAGAGAUGUGGAGGAACACCAGUGGCGAAGGCGGCUCUUUGGUCUGUAACUGACGCUGAGGCGCGAAAAGCGUGGGGGAGCAAACAGG
rnacentral:rRNA from 1 species